CAGGCGGUGCCCUGGGCCACGGUGGCGGGGUCCGACACGUCGUCCCCCAGGUGGAAGAAGGUUCCCCUGCAGACCAGGUCGCUGUGGUUGAAGCGCACGGUGGUGGUGAGGAUCUCUGCGUUGGUGCCCAGCAGGGGGCGCUCCCUCCCACCCCGACAUUGGAUACGGCCGCAGUGCGUGUCACUGCGACAGACAGGAAGUGAUGUCAGGGCGGGGCUUCCACUCAGAAGCACCACAGCGUGGGACGGCAUGAGGACACCAAUACUGUCUCUGUGCACUUUGUGUACUAUAUGUACUUUGUACUGUGUACUUACGAGUUUCCACAGGGUUCCCACAUCGAGGUCCUCCCAGCAGGCGGUCCGGCUGAGGGACGUUGAAGAGACACAUCCCGCCCCCGUGCAGAAGGCUGACGGACAGGUCUGCAGCGCUGCAGCUGCUGAACUGUUGACCCGGCAUGAACCUAGAGGUCCAGCAGGAAGAGACGUCCUCCCACCUCCAGUCCACACUGCAGCCUGUCGGGGUGACCGUCCUGGAGACAGACAGGAGGAGCGUGUCAAACACAUGGAACUCCAGUCUCCAUGGCGACCAGGUCCUGGUCUACAUCAAACCCACAAGAGCCAAACCAUAAUACGAAUACCGCCAUAUCACCAUGGUUACUGUUCCAUGAGGAACACGCCCAAGCCCCCACAGUGUGGGCCACUGAUCCAGGAUCUGCCUCCAUCUGGACGGCCGCGUACAUCCAUUAUCCAAUCAGUGGCCUUUCCUGUCUUUGAAGAGGGACUUCCUGUCCAACGCCGGCUCCCUUUCCUCCUGUCGCCUCGAGAGGAAGAUUAGAAGUGUGUGUGUGUGUGUGUGUGUGUGUGUGUGUGUGUACGCGGCAGACGUAUUGAAUAUAUUGUAGAGACCCCGACGCGUCAUCCCUCAGCCAGCGUGCGUGCUUGGCAGGGGAGGGCAGUGAUUGGUGGGUAUUAGAGGAGGCGGGUGUUCGCCUGGUUUGUGCUGGUGAACUAGUCGAGUUAGUUAGGGGAGCUCCGGGUAAUAGAAGUGAGUACAAGCGCACACAGCGCGCGUGUCUUCUCACUCUUCAUCAUAACGGAUCAAAGGACGAACAUCUGUGGGUGAGACGCUACGAUGUGGAAGCCAAAAACUGAAUAAGACGUCAUUAAUGUUGGAUUUUCCUCAUUCGGACAGUUCUUGAACACAACAGUCAUGUGACCAUAAGAGAAUCACCAGGUGAUUGUAAUAAUAAUGUUAAUAGAUUUCUCUACUUCUAGUCAUUGUGGUUCCGUUUCCAUAGAAAAGAAAGACUUUUAUUUUGAAAAUUCAGACCGCAGAGAAAAUGUGGCUUAGAGGGUUAAAUGUGUCUACAGAUACUUUUCAUCCCUCUUGAUGGAGCCGAUUAUGUUCCGUGUUAAUAAACUGUCACAUUUUCUUUUCCUGAUAUUUAUUUUAACAACAUUGUAAAUAAAGACUCUUUUUAAAAUGAGCGGAAUUCCUCUGUUAGGCGUGUUGGUUUCUCCACCCUUCAGUGCCGUGGUGGAGUCAUUGUGC
ensembl:lncRNA